rnacentral:rRNA from 1 species
UACGUAGGGUGCAAGCGUUGUCCGGAAUUAUUGGGCGUAAAGAGCUCGUAGGCGGUUUGUCGCGUCUGCUGUGAAAGCCCGAGGCUCAACCUCGGGCCUGCAGUGGGUACGGGCAGACUAGAGUGCGGUAGGGGAGAUUGGAAUUCCUGGUGUAGCGGUGGAAUGCGCAGAUAUCAGGAGGAACACCGAUGGCGAAGGCAGAUCUCUGGGCCGUAACUGACGCUGAGGCACGAAGGCCAGGGGAGCAAACGGG